GACGAACGCUGGCGGCGUGCUUAACACAUGCAAGUCGAGCGGUAAGGCCCUUUUGGGGGUACACGAGCGGCGAACGGGUGAGUAACACGUGGGUGACCUGCCCUCAGCUCUGGGAUAAGCCUGGGAAACUGGGUCUAAUACUGGAUAUGACCUUUCCUCGCAUGGGGUUGGGGUGGAAAGUUUUUCGGCUGGGGAGUGGGCCCGCGGCCUAUCAGCUUGUUGGUGGGGUGAUGGCCUACCAAGGCGACGACGGGUAGCCGGCCUGAGAGGCGACCGGCCACACUGGGACUGAGACACGGCCCAGACUCCUACGGGAGGCAGCAGUGGGAAGUAUUGCGCAAUGGGCGGAAGCCUGACGCAGCGACGCCGCGU
rnacentral:rRNA from 1 species